rnacentral:rRNA from 1 species
ACACUGAUUCCCACAGUAACGGCGAGUGAACAGGGAAAAGCUCAAAGUUGGAAGCUCCUGGCCCUAGGCUAGGCGCAUUGUAAACUAAAGCUGUAAAGUAGUUCGGUUGGCCUGGUAAAAAAGUUCCCUGGAAUGGGGCGACAUGGAGGGUGAAAUCCCCGUCUUUGGCCAGAGUUCAGCCGUGCGUUUGCUUUGCUGCGAAGAGUCAGGUUGUUUGGGAAUGCAGCCUAAAAUGGGAGGUAGACUUCUCCUAAAGCUAAAUAUUGACGAAAGACCGAUAGCGAACAAGUACCGUGAGGGAAAGAUGAAAAGCACUUUGAAAAGAGGGUCAAAAAGUACGUGAAAUUGCUGAAAGGGAACCGUAUGAAAUCAGCCUGAUGUGUGGGUAAUCAGCCUGGGCUUUGGCCUGGGUGCACUUGCCCAUGUAUUAGCCUGCGACAGUUUGACUUGGGGGAAAAAAGAUGGGGGAAUGUGGCCUCGGCUUCGGUCGAGGUGUUAUAGCCCCUGUCAAAAUACCUUGGGUUGGACUGAGGACUGCAGCGAGCCGUAAGGCAUGGGUCUCGGGCGCUCUGUCUUGGCGAAAAGUGAAUCUCUGCUUCGGGUGGUGCGCUUUUCUUCAGGGCAGACUCGCCUGUUUCUUCUUUCUCUCGCUUAGGUCGUAGGCAUAAUGAUUUUAUAUGACCCGUCUUGAAACACGG